rnacentral:sRNA from 1 species
UUUCAAAAAUGUAAUAAAUGAAGCAUCGGAGUUAUUCCUCCUCACCGACUAAAACGUUCUUGUAAGCAGAUUUCUCCAAAAUGUAGUCGAAGGGAGUGAAAUCGAAAUCUGGAACUGGUGGUGAUCUCGGUGGGGCCUGAACGACGAUGGUCCGAUCCAUAAACAGUAUGCCGUAUUCAUGCUUUGUUGCUCUGACUGAGUCAGUUGACUUACGGACCAAGAAAGAGGUGAUCGUCUUCCACUCAUUUUCAACGAAUCGGUCUCCGUAAAACGGAGCAAGGCGACGAUCAACGGUGGCCUCAAUACGGUUAUUCUUUACAUACAGAACAUGAUAGUAGACAGUUUAAUAUACAAGUUAAGCGAAUGAACGAGAAAAACACAUAAUGAUUCGACGGAAAUUACCGCGUAAUCUGCCAGGAUAAGGCCGAGUUCGAAGACGUUUGGCGAUAUAACCUUCUUGAAGACUCUCACGACAAAGACAUAAAUUCGCCACCCAGUGAUCAGAGGAGACAAUUCUGAGACCAUAUGAAACCCCUCCAUCUCACGGAUAGCAAGAACAAGCGAAUCGAAAGACAAAAAAAAAUUUUGUGAAUGAUAUAACUGUCGGCACAAGAAAUGGGUUUAGAAUGAGGAUUGUGGAUAAAAUUAAGGAAGGGAGGAGACUUAAAUAGAGGAAAUCUGGAACGGCUACAGUUAUUAAUGCGGUUCCAACUACACUUGAUUCAAAUUUUUGGUAAUAGCCUGGUAACCGUCAUAUAGGGUAAUUAUAACGUUGAUUUGACAAUAAACAGCAACAGUUACGUCAUUUCCAUUAAAUACCAACACAACCACAAUAUACCCAACCAUGUCUCCAACUCCGUUCAUUUAAGAGGGGGAAUAAGUUAGAUUUUCAAAAAACUUAUUUCAAAUUACUCAAAAUAUUGAGCAACCACCUCUAUGUACCCUUAUUACAUGAACUUUAACACGUACACAGACAAAAACGUACAUAGUUAUACGAACGUAGAGUUUAAACGUACGUACACAACGUACAUAGUUACAGGUGGAUUAUAUAUAAACUUACGUACACCGAGAAAACACAGAAGCGUACACUAUAUUGGCCGGCUCAGAAACUUGUCACCAGAACUAGAUUGGAUUUUUGCACGUCUUCUUGUUAUGACCUGCUUGUCGACAGCGUGAGCACUGAUUUGGUAAAAGUCUUUUCUGUCUCUUUUUCUGAAGUGAAGUACACAGGAAGUUAAAAAUCUCUGCAUGGUAAUACUCAAAAUACAAGUAGAUGAAUGAACGAUGUUAGUACAUACCCGGUUUUCACCUCUAGAUGGGAUCCUUUUGGACAGUGGUCUUCCUGGUGGCCGUCUACUGUAUGGAGGAAUGAGUAUCAAAUCCACUAUAUGUUGUGGGAUGACAACAUCUUUCGGAUCCGCGAUAGGUAGGAUUGGUUCUUGGAAAGAAUCAGAAAACGUUUGAAGGCCAUACCACCAUCCGACACAAGACUUCGGAUCAAUUCCAUGCUCGAUUGCAGCUGCUAGAGCGUGUUCACAUGGGAUUCUUAGCUUGGUGUACCUAAGACACGUACACGUACACUGGUCCAGAACGACAUGAAAAUGCUCACCGGAUUUACUUGUCACUUGAUAGCUCCACGGUCCAAACAUCUUCACAGCGUAUUUACCUGACGCAGGCAACUCUUGUAGAAAUCUCUCAUCAACCUCAGGUGUCACAGAAGAUUUGCACCAAGCAACUUUCUUCCUCCUCGAUGCGAACCAUCGCAUUAGGACAUCCCGAAUGAACUCGAUCAUGUAAACAAUCGGAUAAGUUUUUGCUUUUGUUAACACAUGAUUCAUGGACUCAGAGUUGUUGCUAGACAUGAUAUUGUAGUGUUUUCCUCUACAGUGAACUCUUGUCCAAUGCUCAAAUCCUAUGUCCUCUAGGUAUUUUGCGCAUUUAGCACUCUUUUCCCUUAACAGUCCAAAAUAUUUCUCGAAAUCCCUAACCCUAUAAGCUUUGGCAGCGCUAAAAAAUAAAGCAGACACACCAAACUUACCAUAAUAGGUGGAGAGGUUUCGCUCAAGGUGAACAGCACAUGCUCCAUGAUGCGCUCUCGGGUAAACAACACUUAGGCCUUUGUAUAUAGAUGAAUGUCUGUCCGAGACAAUCCUUAAAUCGUCACUGUCUGGAACAAUCUCAGCUAACUUUUCAAAAACCAUGUCCAAGAAGCAUCGGUCUCACCAUCAACAACACCAAAAGCUAUUGGGAAUAUUUGGAAGUUCCCAUCUUGGGCACAUGCAAUAAGGAGACAUCCUUUGUAAGGUCCGACUAGUUGCGUUCCAUCUACCACAAUUACCUUCCUCAUAUAUAUCAGACCUUUGAUAGAAGCGCCAAGAGAGACAAAGACAUACUUGAAGCGCUGCUUACCAUCAUCUUCUGGUGUAUAGUGUAGGUGUGUUAUUGUACCCGGAUUAGCUAAUUGGAGAAGAUACAGAUAGGUCGGCAAAAACCUGUAAUUUGCUAUCUCAUCCCCCCUUACAUUUUCCACUGCAACCUCUUUUGCUCUCCAAGCGGUAGAAUAUGAAAUCCGCACAUUCAGAUCAUUUAGGAGCAGCUGUGGUAAAUCGACAGCUUGCGGCCCACCCUGCGUAGAACUGUAUCUGCUCCUCACAACUUCUCCGAGGAGCUUAUAAUUAGCAUGUUUAUUGUAGUUCUUCCGAGAGUCGAUGUUACACGUAUGUGUCGUAGCAUACGAAGUGAUUUUGAAACUUUCUGAAUCCUUCACGAUGCGAGCAGUCAAAUGCCAUGGACAAGUCUCAUCAACGCACACCAUCUUCAAUGUUUUAGGACAUGACUUAGGUUGCUUGAAGCAAAAGCAUUGCUUUAUCGCUUGAAGAUACAUUGUUUGUUGCAGGACUUUUCUAUUCUUAAAAACACUUCCAACAAACAAAGUUUCGCCUGUUGUGCUGAUUUCAACCUGUGUCUCAUCAGCUCGAAAAUUGAGUAAGUCAUCAAACACAGGAGCAGCAUCGUUACCGAGAUUCGCCAACUCGCCACCAUGUAACUUAGGAAAUUCAUUAUACACUUGGUAAGCCUCAGCUGCGGUAACUACCCCAUUAUCAUUCAGUGUCCCAGUUGAGGAAGCUCCAAUACCGUCGAUCACUUCAUCCCCGGUGACUUCGUCUAUACAAAUAAGAUUGGAAUCCCUUUGCCCUUCGCAGCGUGUACCGUAACCCAAUGGAGAAAUUGUUUCUUCGCCAGGUACACUAAGACCAGUGUACGUACACGUUUCCAAGAGACGACUGAAUUCCCCUGUAUCUCCGCCAUGUACACUAACACCCGUGUACGUACACGUUUCCAAUAAACGACUGAAUUCCCUAGAUGUUGAGCAGUCUGUUGAGUGAGGCUGACGUCUUCCUCAAGAUUUCCUUGUACAUAUUCUUCUACUAUUACAUCGUUCCACUUGUUGUAAUCGUAUUCUUCGCCAAUACCUUCACUACCGUCUGUGGUAGGAUACAGGGUACUUCCCCCAAUAGAUCCAUCCACACAAAGAUAAUCAUCACACCCAUCAUCAUCUUCGUUGCCCUCCUCCACUUCAUCCUCUUCUGUUGUAUCGUCUUCAACAUCGGCUUGCUCCUCUGCAUCCUCAUUAUUUUCAUCAACAUUUGUAGCACUAUCAAACACACGGUCACUUUCAGAAACUUCACCAUGAGACCUAGAGACAGUAUUCCCGAACGCCUUCACUGUAUUAUUGAAAGAGACGAACAAGUUGAGAGAAAGAUACCCACCACGAACCAAAAAAAACGUUUCGAGACCCAUCUGACUGUCAAUGUAUACAGGAGGGCGUUUAGUAUCUAUCAGCACUGACAUUUCUCCCGGCAUCCAGUAGCUAAUUAUGGGAUUGAUCUCGGUGGACUUCAAACUGAAAGCCUCUCGGAGUGUACGGACAAAGUCCGUGUACGUCAUGGUUUCCUAAACGCGUACACAACGACCAAAGAUGCCUUCCUCAGGUUCAAAUUUCCAUUCUCCUUCUUUGCAUUUCCACUCACCGACCAUAGUAAAUACGGGAAUAUCCAUAACCCACCUGCAUCAUAAAUUCAGGAGACACACAUUAAAUGCAACUGAAAAAUACUAUACAUAUAAAAAACAAAUGGAAUAUCGAUACUACACAUUUAUAAACCUAAAUACCAAUUAUCAUUUGACUAUUUUAAACAAACAAAUAUAGAUUUUGCAAAUUUUCUGAUAAAAAAAUGGAGUUCGAACACAAUCAAGACCCUAAUAUGACAUAACAAAAAACUUCUUAAAAGAACUUCAUUACUUACACGAGCAAUGCUUAUUUUGGCUCCAAACUUGGUACAAAAACAAGAUCAACACUUCUUCAGCAGCAAUGUACGUUCUCAAUAAUUCUUUGUUCCUGGGUUCAUCUUCUUUAUCUCAACAAUUUUUUUAUUAAUUAUUAUCAA